rnacentral:tRNA from 15 species
GCGGUAGUGGCGGAACGGCAGACGCACCAGCUUGAGGGGCUGGCGGGGGCAACCUCGUGAUGGUUCAAAUCCAUUCUACCGCACCA